AUGUGGAGCAACCCUUCCCCUGAGAGGAGAGCGAGAAGCUGCUGUACACUUGCCCUGGACUUAGAGCAACCCCAUGGACUGGAGCAGCCAGAAGUAUCCUGUUUGUUCACAUCUCACCUUAGCCUGUGGUUUCAAGACACAUCAAAGCAAGAAAGAAGCAAGGAAGCUGUUGGGAGAAUGCAGUUUCUGACAUGUUUUGCAAGAGUAGUCCUUUGAAAACUAAUGAAAGCCCCAUUUUGCACCUGAAGGAGCUCUUCAGAACUGUAAAAUACUUCCAGAGGGAAUCUACAUCACGAAAGUUCUUCUCAAGCUGGCUGCUUCAACCAGGGGAAGCAGAGACACUGAUUUGACUGCUGCUGGCUCCACUACAGAUGUAUGCUAAAGCAGUGGUGGAACACU
rnacentral:lncRNA from 1 species